AACAAACGCUGGCGGCGUGCCUAACACAUGCAAGUCGAACGGAAUUGAGGGGCUUGCUCCUUAAUUUAGUGGCGCACGGGUGAGUAACGCGUGGAUAAUCUGCCCUGGUGUCCGGGAUAACAUUUCGAAAGGGGUGCUAAUACCGGAUAAGCCCACGAGGUCCUCGGACCUUGCGGGAAAAGGUGGCCUCUAUAUAUAAGCUACUGUAUCAGGAUGAGUCCGCGUACCAUUAGCUAGUUGGCGGGGUAACGGCCCACCAAGGCGACGAUGGUUAGCUGGUCUGAGAGGAUGAUCAGCCACACUGGAACUGAGACACGGUCCAGACUCCUACGGGAGGCAG
rnacentral:rRNA from 1 species